AUGUGGAUUGACAAUGACGUGCUGGCAGCUCAAAGAAUGAAAGGAGCAUGUGUACCCAUUGAAUCAGAUCGGCCUUCACUACCUGAUUACAUGAUUUGGCUAGUACCGGCUAAUAUACUGCGGUCUGAAGGGAAACAACUUAGAGCCUCUGACUGCAUUGCAAAAGAUUUUGGCCCGCAGCGGAAUCAGAUUUUGGAAAGCACGUCCUGGGCUGCUUCCGCUUUUGGUUCAGAUUUUGGCAGCGGAUUUCUGGAAUUGGAUUCUGCUGGGUUCGCCCUUUGGUUCAGAUUCUGCUGCACGGUAGCGGAAUCCGUCGAUAAAAGCUGA
rnacentral:rRNA from 1 species